rnacentral:rRNA from 1 species
UACGAAGGGUGCAAACGUUGCUCGGAAUCAUUGGGCGUAAAGCGCACGUAGGCGGCUUGCCAAGUCGGACGUGAAAUCCCCAGGCUUAACCUGGGAACUGCAUCCGAUACUGGUUGGCUUGAAUCCGGGAGAGGGAUGCGGAAUUCCAGGUGUAGCGGUGAAAUGCGUAGAUAUCUGGAGGAACACCGGUGGCGAAGGCGGCAUCCUGGACCGGCAUUGACGCUGAGUGAGCGAAAGCCGGGGGAGCAAACGGG